rnacentral:rRNA from 1 species
GACGAACGCUGGCGGCGUGCUUAACACAUGCAAGUCGAACGGUAAGGCCCUUCGGGGUACACGAGUGGCGAACGGGUGAGUAACACGUGGGUGAUCUGCCCUGCACUUCGGGAUAAGCCUGGGAAACUGGGCCUAAUACCGGAUAGGACCACUGCCUGCAUGGGUGGUGGUGGAAAGCUUUUGCGGUGUGGGAUGGGCCCGCGGCCUAUCAGCUUGUUGGUGGGGUGAUGGCCUACCAAGGCGACGACGGGUAGCCGGCCUGAGAGGGUGACCGGCCACACUGGGACUGAGAUACGGCCCAGACUCCUACGGGAGGCAGCAGUGGGGAAUAUUGCACAAUGGGCGCAAGCCUGAUGCAGCGACGCCGCGUGAGGGAUGACGGCCUUCGGGUUGUAAACCUCUUUCAGCACCGACGAAGCGCAGGUGACGGUAGGUGCAGAAGAAGGACCGGCCAACUACGUGCCAGCCGCCGCAGUAA